rnacentral:rRNA from 1 species
UUGGUGUUACUGCGAAGGGGGGACGGAGAAGGCUAUGUUGGCCGGGCGACGGUUGUCCCGGUUUAAGCGUGUAGGUGUGUGUUCCAGGUAAAUCCGGUUCACUUUAACACUGAGGCGUGAUGACGAGGCACUACGGUGCUGAAGCAACAAAUGCCCUGCUUCCAGGAAAAGCCUCUAAGCAUCAGGUAACAUCAAAUCGUACCCCAAACCGACACAGGUGGUCAGGUAGAGAAUACCAAGGCGCUUGAGAGAACUCGGGUGAAGGAACUAGGCAAAAUGGUGCCGUAACUUCGGGAGAAGGCACGCUGACAC